AGUCACUGACAUUAGAUACCCGUGUAGUCCAGGGUGUAAACGCUGCAGACUUGGUGUUGGAAGUCCUUUGGGGGCAUUCAGUGCCGGAGAGAAGUUGUUAAGUCUGCUACUUGGGGAGUACGUCCGCAAGGAUGAAACUUAAAGGAAAUUGGCGGGGGAGGCACCGCAACGGGAGGAGCGUGCGGUUUAAUUGGAUUCAACACCGUAAACUCACCAGGGAAGACUGUUACAUGAAGGCCGAGAUGAAGACUCUGCUAGAUUUUCAG
rnacentral:rRNA from 1 species